rnacentral:rRNA from 1 species
AGAGUUUGCUUCUGGCUCAGGAUGAACGCUGGCGGCGUGCUUAACACAUGCAAGUCGAACGGGGGCGUGAUGUGCGAGAGGGUUAGUUUACUAGACUUCAAACUUUUCACGCCCUAGUGGCGGACGGGUGAGUAACGCGUGGGUAACCUGCCAUAUACAGGGGGAUAACACUUAGAAAUAGGUGCUAAUACCGCAUAAGCGCACAGGGGCGCAUGCCCCGGUGUGAAAAACUCCGGUGGUAUAUGAUGGACCCGCGUCUGAUUAGCCAGUUGGCAGGGUAACGGCCUACCAAAGCGACGAUCAGUAGCCGGCCUGAGAGGGCGGACGGCCACAUUGGGACUGAGACACGGCCCAAACUCCUACGGGAGGCAGCAGUGGGGGAUAUUGCACAAUGGGGGAAACCCUGAUGCAGCGACGCCGCGUGAGUGAAGAAGUAUUUCGGUAUGUAAAGCUCUAUCAGCAGGGAAGAAAAUGACAGUACCUGACCAAGAAGCCCCGGCUAACUACGUGCCAGCAGCCGCGGUAAUACGUAGGGGGCAAGCGUUAUCCGGAUUUACUGGGUGUAAAGGGAGCGUAGACGGUUAUGUAAGUCUGGAGUGAAAGCCCGGGGCCCAACCCCGGGACUGCUUUGGAAACUGCGUAACUGGAGUACAGGAGGGGCAGGCGGAAUUCCUGGUGUAGCGGUGAAAUGCGUAGAUAUCAGGAGGAACACCGGCGGCGAAGGCGGCCUGCUGGACUGAAACUGACGUUGAGGCUCGAAAGCGUGGGGAGCAAACAGGAUUAGAUACCCUGGUAGUCCACGCCGUAAACGAU